GAAAGAAGUUCAUGAGGCAAGGCGAAUCAAAAUGCUACAUCAGCCUAGUAAGGUCAUGGACAUGGAGCAUGAACUUCAAGCAUUGCGAGUGCAGCUAGCAGAGAAGUGCAAGUAUUCAAUACAGCUUCAGAAAGAGCUGGCAAGGAAAAUGGGUGAGGAAACUGUAUCACAGUUAUAUGAAUUAGAUGGCACGGAAGCCCUGGGUUCUUGUUU
rnacentral:misc_RNA from 1 species